GAACACAUCUCCGUUCAGGUGAUUGUUUUUUUUUAAAUAAAAAAAAUUCGAUGGGAAUCGCAUCCAUCUACCUCGCGCGGUCUUUCUUCCCAAUAUCCAGAAGCCGAGCUUUGAAAAAACUCUAGCGACGGCACGGGUGUCCGACUCACGACAACGAGGAUAGACAGCCUGCGGUCCCCUCUGAACGGACGAAACUUUAGUCGUUCAGGUGGUAUAAAAAAAAAUUCGAUGGGACGCACGCGCAGCCGUCGUCCUCGAGCGGUCUUUCUUCCCAAUAUCCAGAAGCCGAGCUUUGAAA
rnacentral:misc_RNA from 1 species